UACGGGGGGGGCAAGCGUUGUUCGGAAUUACUGGGCGUAAAGGGCUCGUAGGUGGCCAACUAAGUCAGACGUGAAAUCCCUCGGCUUAACCGGGGAACUGCGUCUGAUACUGGAAGGCUUGAAUCCGGGAGAGGGAUGCGGAAUUCCAGGUGUAGCGGUGAAAUGCGUAGAUAUCUGGAGGAACACCGGUGGCGAAGGCGGCAUCCUGGACCGGCAUUGACGCUGAGGCGCGAAAGCCAGGGGAGCAAACGGG
rnacentral:rRNA from 1 species